rnacentral:rRNA from 1 species
GUGGCUUCUGGAGCUAACGCGUUAAAUCGACCGCCUGGGGAGUACGGCCGCAAGGUUAAAACUCAAAUGAAUUGACGGGGGCCCGCACAAGCGGUGGAGCAUGUGGUUUAAUUCGAUGCAACGCGAAGAACCUUACCUACUCUUGACAUCCAGCGAAUCCUUUAGAGAUAGAGGAGUGCCUUCGGGAACGCUGAGACAGGUGCUGCAUGGCUGUCGUCAGCUCGUGUUGUGAAAAUGUUGGGUUAAGUCCCGCAACGAGCGCAACCCUUAUCCUUUGUUGCCAGC